AAUAGCGUAUAUUAAAAUUGUUGCAGUUGAAAAGCUCGUAGUUGAAUUUCUGACGGGAGUGACCUGGCCUUUCGCUUGAUGCGAUCGUAUGCCGUGCGUUAUCUCUAGUCAUCCUUCGUCCGCGAGGGCGAUCGUUUACUGUAAAUAAAAUAGAGUGAUUGAAGCACUUUGUUCGGAAGGGAAUAUACUAUUAUGGAAUGAUAAGAUAGGGCUUUGGUGCUAUUUUGUUGGUUUGCGCGCCAAGGUAAUGGUUAAUAGGGAUGGUUGGGGGUAUUCGUAUUUAGAUGUCAGAGGUGAAAUUCUUGGAUUUUCUAAAGACGAGCAACUGCGAAGGCAUUUACCAAAGACAUUCUCAUUGA
rnacentral:rRNA from 1 species